rnacentral:rRNA from 1 species
AACGAACGCUGGCGGCAGGCUUAAUACAUGCAAGUCGUGGGGCAGCAGGGUUGUAGCAAUACAAUCGCUGGCGACCGGCAAACGGGUGCGUAACACGUACGCAACCUUCCCGUUACUGUGGCAUAGCCCAGGGAAACUUGGAUUAAUACCACAUAUUAUAUUUAGGGGGCAUCCCUUUGAUAUCAAAGCUUCGGAGGUAACGGAUGGGCGUGCAGUUGAUUAGGUAGUUGGCGGGGUAACGGCCCACCAAGCCUACGAUCAAUAGCUGAUGUGAGAGCAUGAUCAGCCACACGGGCACUGAGACACGGGCCCGACUCCUACGGGAGGCAGCAGUAAGGAAUAUUGGGCAAUGGACGAAAGUCUGACCCAGCCAUGCCGCGUGAAGGAUUAAGGUCCUCUGGAUUGUAAACUUCUUUUCUCUGGGGCGAAAACCAGCUAUUCUUAGCUAUUUGACAGUACCAGAGGAAUAAGCACCGGCUAACUCCGUGCCAGCCGCCGCCGUAAGAC